rnacentral:tRNA from 1 species
CAGGGAGACAACACAAUGAUUUUGAUGUCUGAGUAUUUUGAUUCUUAGGCCGAAAUCCUGUCACCUUAGGUCGAUCGGUACCUCAAGUUGAGAAUUAAAGAAAAGCUGAGUAAUCAGCUUGGAGAUUGAUGAUUGAUUUUAGUUCCUAAACUUGUCUAGGUCACACCCCGCAAGGGUUACUCCUGGGCCAUUAGCUCAGGUGGUUAGAGCGCACCCCUGAUAAGGGUGAGGUCCCUGGUUCAAGUCCAGGAUGGCCCAUUCGGUGUUGGGGGUUUAGCUCAGUUGGUAGAGCGCCUGCUUUGCAAGCAGGAUGUCAGCGGUUCGAGUCCGCUAACCUCCACUGACGAAUCUUCUGACAACGAGCCAAUGGUGAGAAUCGUUGUGUGAUGUGAUUUAGAAUUUAAGUUUGCUGGCAGACCCUAGCUUCUUAUCAUUCCAGGACUCAAGCAAUUGAGAUGAGGUUGAUAGGAUGCUGGGCUCAUUGUAAUUCGCAAGAAUUGCAGAGAUGUUCAGCAGAACCUUGACAACUGCAUAGGUAAGUCUGGAAAGAAUAAAGCAUCUCAUGGAUGCAUGAUUCUUGGGAAUCAGCUAAUGCAAUCUGCGCGAGCAGAGAGCUGAUGUUGAUCAACGAGAAUGAUGUUUGAUUCUUG